AGAGUUUGAUCCUGGCUCAGAAUCAACGCUGGCGGCGCGCCUAACACAUGCAAGUCGAGCGAGAAAGGGGCAACCUGAGUAAAGCGGCGUACGGGUGAGUAACACGUGGAUCAUCUACCUCUUAGUGGGGGAUACCCUGGGGAAACCUGGAUCAAUCCCGCAUAAGCCCGCGAGGGGAAAGCAGCAAUGCGCUGAGAGAGGAGUCCGCGGCCGAUUAGCUAGAUGGCGGGGUAAUGGCCCACCAUGGCGACGAUCGGUAGCCGGCCUGAGAGGGCACACGGCCACACUGGCACUGAAACACGGGCCAGACUCCUACGGGAGGCAGCAGUGGGGAAUCUUGCACAAUGGAGGAAACUCUGAUGCAGCGACGCCGCGUGGACGAUGAAGCCCUUCGGGGUGUAAAG
rnacentral:rRNA from 1 species